rnacentral:rRNA from 1 species
AGCAGCCGCGGUAAUUCCAGCUCCAAUAGCGUAUAUUAAAGUUGUUGCAGUUAAAAAGCUCGUAGUUGAAUUUCGGGAUUGACGUGAUGGUCGUGCCUUAAGGGGUAUGAACUGUCGCUGUUGAUUUCUCACCUUCUGGAGAAACUUGAUGUCCUUAAUUGGGUGUCUUGCGGAUCCAGGACCUUUACCUUGAAAAAAUUAGAGUGUUUAAAGCAGGCAUUUUUGCUCGAAUACAUUAGCAUGGAAUAAUAGAAUAGGACGGCAUGGUUCUAUUUUGUUGGUUUCUAGGAUCACCGUAAUGAUUAAUAGGGAUAGUUGGGGGAAUUAGUAUUCAAUUGUCAGAGGUGAAAUUCUUGGAUUUAUUGAAGACUAACUACUGCGAAAGCAUUUGCCAAGGAUGUUUUCAUUAAUCAAGAACGAAAGUUAGGGGAUCGAAGACGAUCAGAUACCGUCGUAGUCUUAACCAUAAACUAUGCCGACUAGGAAUCAGACGAUGUUAAUUUUUUAAUGACUCG